GUGCCAGCAGCCGCGGUAAGACGGAGGGGGCAAGCGUUGUCCGGAAUCACUGGGCGUAAAGCGCGCGUAGGUGGCACAGUGCGUCGGUGCUGAAAGCGCCGGGCUUAACCCGGCGAGGUGCAGCGAUACGACUGAGCUCGAGGCAGGGAGAGGGUGGCGGAAUUCCGGGUGUAGUGGUGAAAUGCGUAGAGAUCCGGAGGAACGCCAGUGGUGCAGACGGCCACCUGGCCCUGACCUGACACUGAGGCGCGACAGCGUGGGGAGCGAACCGGAUUAGAUACCCGUGUAGUCC
rnacentral:rRNA from 1 species